UUUAAAGUUAGUUAAUGAAGCUUAAUUUCAUCUACAGCUUCAGAAACCUUAAUAAAACUUAAAUUACUCUGAGGGUUAUUACAUUUAAUAAUAUUGCUGGCUACUCAUAUUUAAAGUUAUUUCAAUGUUUAGAUCAAAACUAUUCUUUUUGGAUUAUACUGUCAAAUCUGUUAUUUACAAAUAAAGUUACUUUCCUCCCAGUUCCCUUCAGUGAAAUAGCUGUAUUCUUCAACUAUUCCUUACCCAUGUCUAUGUUAGACUUUUUAAAACUGUAAUCAUGUACCCAACAGUUAUACUGGCAAGUACUCAAUAAGAAUGUCACUAAUGAAAAUCCAGGAGUUCAACAUAUUAUGACUGUGUUUUAUUUAAUUUGCUCCAUUAAUUUCUUCAGAAUCCUGAAGAUAGCUUACACAGUCCAACCAGAAACCAGUGAAGUAUUAAAUAGAAAAUAAAACUUAAAAAUGAGGGAAUUAUACACAUAUACAUAGGGAAUAAUCUAGUGAAUCCAUCUAUACAAAAUGGGGCAAGUUCCACUACCAUUACUCACUAGUAAAUGCAUUACCUAGUACCUCAAAAAAGCAAAAAUAGAAAAGAACAGAGCUAUAAGAUGCAAAAUGGAUGUAGUCAAAUCUAGUGUGUGGUACAGAAUUAAACCAUGCAAUCUGUAAAAAGGAAAACAGUAUUAGAAAACAGGUAUACAAGACAAGUUGAGAGGUACAAUGAAGAAAAAUUGGGGGAAAAAUCCUUUCCUAAAAAAUCUGAGUAAAUUGGUCUAAAGGUCAAGACUCUUUAAGGAUCAAUAACGAAGAAACAUCCCUUCAGUUUUUUUAAGAGCCCUUAAAAACAAAAAAACGAAGUGACAUCACUAGUACAUAAUCACUACCCAAUCAAGCUAGCUCUUCCUGAGGGCAUGAGGGGGACCACUUAAGGUAUCCAACAGAAUUCUGACAGAUGGUAUCGCUUGGAGAAGUACAUAAUACAAGUUAAAUAUCCAAAAGCCACAUAUUACACAAGGCUCCUUUACUUAGGCUUGUCUAACUCUAACAACCUUAAUUAAUAAUUCCUAUUUUACAAGGUAACAAACAAAGACUCUGACAAAUUAACUUGCAACAAGUAAAAGCUAAUGAAAUGUAAAGCUAAUUUGAAGACAUCUUGACCUUGAAGCUUAUCACUUGCCACUGUAUCAUGAAACUUAAUGACAAGUCUUCAAAGUAGGAACUUCAAAAGUUACAUGAUGAACUUAGAAAUAAGGUAUUAAAAUAUAAAAAGGUUUCAAACCAUCCAGCUAACACAGAAGGUACUAGUACAGAAAAAAACAAAAAUGAUUAUCUAUCAUUACCAGAGUAAGUACAGUAUUUGACCAAAGGCACUGUAUGAAACAGCUUGAAAGACAUAAGGUUCAACGUAACACAGAACUGAAGAGUUUACCAGAAAAAAACAAAGGGGUAACCAGGCUAGACUGGGAUGAGAGAUGAGAGAUGGAGCACAGUAUACACUGCAUAAAGUAAUUCAUGUUAAAUGGACACAGGCUCUUCUGUAACAGUCACUGAAAAGUUUAAAGACAUUUAGUUUCUAACAGGCCACCCUAACUAAAACAAAAAAUAACCAUAACCAAUGUUAAGGUCUACCAUAUUUAGACCAUAUGGGAGAAUAAACUGAGACUACUCUUUCAUAGCAAAUCAAAACGUUAGGUGGUUUCAUAUAGCACUGUAAUUAUUAUUCUAGGAGACUGGGCAUAUAGUUGACACUAAAACAGCAAAAAUACAUUCAGCAAUAUAAACAUUAUGGAAUAAUAAGGGAUACAAAUGAAAUACUGAAUUUGCAAAUAUAAAAAACUAGCAGGCAGAUCUAGUAUCUGGAUACCUCAACAUCUGUCAAUACAAUUAGAGUUAACAAACAAGUCAAUUUAAAAACACUGUCACUGCUUAGUAUCACAUGUAAGAGUAAACUUAGUAGCUCAACAAAGGUAGGACGUUGAGUAGAGUAACCCUGUGUUUGUAACUAGAAAUAAAACUACUGUUUUUUUAUAAUUAGCCAGAAGAGUGCAGCAAAACUAUAAAUUCUAUUUGUUAUGAUUAACCGCUCAUGAUACUGCAUAUAAACUGAGUGAAAAAGAAUGCUUUUAAAUUCAAAAGUAAAGUUUCUGCACAUUAUAUAGAUAUGUAAAGUCAGGCCAAAUCUGAAUGGGUCAAACUGCAUGUAAGAGUUUAAAGGUCUUUUGUGAAACCCUUUUCACAUGGUUUACAGGGUUUUGAAUGUGGUUCAGAAGAGGAUUAUGUAACUUGUAUGAUUAAUAUAAUAGAGGAUACUGCCAUAGAACUUCCUUAGCAAUCCAGUUGAAAUUAAGAACUGAAAAUCAUGUCCAAACCCAUAGAAUGCACACCACCAAGUAACUACAGACUUUGAAUGAUGCUGUGUAAAUGAAAGAAGUAUACUGAUUCUAACAAAUACACCACUCUGGUGGAGGAUGUUGAUGAGAAAGGUUAUGCAUGUAUGUGGUGGGGCAGGGGGCAGGGUACAUAGGAAACCUCUGUACCUUCCAUUCAAUUCUCCAUGAACCUAGAACUGCUCUGUGAAGUCCAAUCUAUUAAAAAGUAAAAAUAAAGGGAAGAGCAAAACAGUAAUUAGCCAGAAGACUGCAGCAAAAAGCAGGAAGGACAGAAUAUGGAACAAGAGGAAGACAGAAUAUAUAUGUGUUGGAAGACAGCCAAACAUAUGUGUGGGCUGGAGGGUGGUCUCAAUUGCACCUGCAGUAUUUUAAUUUAUGGAGGUGACUGAGUGACAAUAAGGAGAGGUUUAUGCCAUAGAAAAGAUUACUUACAUUUUCCAAGAGAAGGAGGCAUUCCAUGCAGGGUCAUAAGGGGGAAGUACCAAGUUUGGUCAGAAAACAAGGAACAAGGGAAAAACACUGCCCAAAAACUUCACUACAUUUUUCCAGUAAAAAGGCAAAGCAGGGCAGGGAAAAGAGCUUAGCACUAGCUAGUCUGAAUAACACUGGCAGGCUCUAGGAUGAUCUCUACUUAUCUGGUACCUGACCUUGGGAAAUAUUGUUUGAGUUAGAUAAAGGAGGUGGCUGGGUUGUGGACUCCAGUAGGUUUGUGUAAGAAAGACAUGCUCACUGACAAGUUGUUUACCGUCUCUUCCUACCUGGCCCUGAAAAACGUAGUCUAUCUUCACCAAGCAACUGCCCCCACCUCAAAGAUGUCAAAACUUAAUAAAAGACGGAGAAAAACAAAAACAAUUAAUGAGGUAGGAGUGUUUAGAGCUGAAAGCCAUUAAGUGGAACAAACAAAAUACCCCUAUCACAUAAAUCUAAGCUUAAGGGCUGGUUUAUUCAUAUAAAAAAUAUAGGUAUAUUUAAAGAAGAGUCUUCCAUGUCCAUAUAAUUGAUAUUUUUAAAAAUCCAGAAAUAUGGAAGGCAAGGAGAAAUUAUUAAUACCAAUAGCAAAUAAUUGAGGAUUUUACUAUUUGCUGAAUAUACUUCUAAGCACUUUAUAUGUGGAAAACACCAGCUCUGCAGAUUAACCUAGGUUUAAGUUCUUGUCUAUGACCUACUAAUUGUAACCUUGAGUGAGUUACUUAACCUGUCUUAGCCUCAGGUUCUUUGUUAAAGGUUAUUAAGAACUUGUUGAAGGGUAAUAAUAGGAUAAUGUUAAUAAAAAGCAAAUAAGUGAUUACUACAGAAGUUUGGUUUGUAGUUACAACUAGGGAAGGAGUUAUAAUCAAGAGGGAGUACAUGGGAAGUUCCUGGGGCACUGCUAUUCUAUUUCUUAAUUUGGGUGGUGUUUAUAGAUGUCAACCUCCUAAAAUUAAGCUAUUUUUUAUAUUGUCUAUUACACUUCAUAAUCAAAAAGAUUAAAUAUAAAGCACAGUUGCACCACAAAGACAGGAAAUGCUAAAAUAUCUGUGAUUUUUACCUAGUAGUUACUGAUAAUUUUCCUAUUUCCUACAAUGAGCAUAAAACAUGUGAAAAAUUUAACAGCGCCACAUACUUAGCUAAACCCUGUAUGCUUACUAUCAUCAUUCCAAUAUUUAGGUCAGAAUGACAGUCCUUUGAACAGUAUGAUCUUAGGUGAGUCACAUAAAGCUUCCACAUCCAAAAACCCAAAUAAAAAUAAACUUAGUUAUCAAAAGUCCUCAUUUCAGAGUAACUUCCUGGAGUCAGUGUGAUUCAAAUAGCUGGACCAGCCUCCACCCAAACUUUCACAGGCUCUCCAAAUGUGACAGUGAUAGCUAGUUUCCUACAACACAUGAAGCUGACCAAAUGCUGCUCAAAGUUAUCAAAGAGGGUAACGAUGAGUAACAAACUUCAGGUUAUAAAAUUAAGGCAAGAAGGAAGAAAAGCCCCCAAAUUUGUGAGCUCACCCAACGAAGCAAUAUUAAUUACAGAAAGCUCUAUGUACUUCUAUAAAAGGAAAACCUUUGCGAGCAAAAGCAACAUAGGUUAAGAAUUCAAGAUAAGGGCAAAAACAAACAAAAAUAUCUCCCAAUGUAUAAGCAAUCUAGAAUUUAAUGAAAUUUAGAUAUAUCUACUAUUCAGAGAUUUGCUUGAAGGAAAACAGAUAAAAUUCAAAGAAAAUUACAAACAAAUCAAUUCAAAAAUAGCUCCUAAACAUUUUUAGGUUAGCCCCAAAGAGUAUCCAAUAAAUUCCAUAAAGGCAGGAGGCAAGCAAUAUAAUUUGUCUACCCUUCUCUGUCUCUAAUACCUAGUAUAAAUAUGUACUAGAUAUCCAAGUAGCCAAUGGAUGAUUACCCAAAAAUAUAGUAUAUAUGUAAAAUAUAUAUACAUACAAAGUUACCAAUCAAAAUUUCAAAUUCCUAGGACAAUUACUGAGCUUCACCAAAAACAAAUCUUGUUUGCCUCUUCAACUAACAACUAAGGUUAAAUGCAGCUUUAAACAUACUCCUUUAAACAGCAGCCUUUUGAGAGUUCAAGUGCCAGGUCCCAAGUGUGCUUCUAAAUGAGGACAGGGAGACGAUGUAAAACUUACUUGCCAAGUUUGUACAACUCCAAAGUGGUUGAAUUAGAAUUUGAAACCAAGCCUGAUGACAAAGCCAAAGUCCUUAACAACAUCUAUGCUAUAUAUUAAUAUGAAAUGUAAAAGCUAUUUUAAGGAAGUUGGGUACUAUAAGUAGUUGAUAACCAAAGGACUAAACUGAAAACAAAAAGCAAAGAUCUAAGAGAAGUAGCUUCUCAUGAUGCUCUUCUGAAAUAGAUUGGGGGGCAGGGCCAUGGAAGGUUAUUAAGUAUAUACUAAAAAGAAUUUAAAUUAACCAGAACUGCUUCAUCUUGAUUAAUCUCAAAUCUGCAGAUAUAUAAACUGGCUCCCCUAUGAAAACAAAUCCAUACCUUCACUGACCAAAACAAAUCAGGUCAAAAGUAGUAGCUUCUAAAUUGCAGAUCUUAAAAGAAGCUUAAAAAUAAUGUGAGUUUUAUAUAGCUGCAGAUGGUUAAAGAAUGCUUUAUCAAAACCCAAACAAACAAUAUCCUCCCACUCCCACAAUAAUGGGAGUAUACAGAAUGGACACAGAGAAAAUAAAAUAUCCCUGUUGUAAAUAAAUGACUAACUGAAAAAUAAGGGAGAAGAGACAAGUCUCCCAUGUAGAAGAAUUCCCAGUAAUUUUUGUAGAUACAUCUGCCCUUAAGGAAAUAGCGUGUAUAACUCCCCACUCCUUAGGUAUGGGAUACAUUAGGUGACUUCAUCUCAAAGAAUACAGAAUGGAAAGGUGGAGGAGGGAAGAGUAACUUCAUAGUGAAGAAACCUAACAAAAAUAGCUCAGCUAGGUGAUUAAAAUUCAUAUCAACAGUGUUAAGUUACUACUGACAUAAAACCUAAGUUAUAAUCAGUAAACAGAAUGCUGAUAAUAUGUGCCCUAGAUAUGGUAAUGUGUUAAAAAUGGCACUUCACCUCUGUGAUCUUCCGCCCCAAAACACAUAAAUCCAGUCUCAUGAGGAAAACAGACAAAUCCUAAUAGGAAGACACUUUAUACAUCAACACUUGACCAGUACUCAAAACUGUCAAGGUCAUCAAAAACAAAGUCUGAGAAACUGUCACAGCCAAGAGGACCCUAAGGAGACACAACUAUGUAGUAUAACACUAACAUAAAUGUAAUGUGAUAUUUAUUGUAGAUGGGAUUCUGGGGCAAGACAUUACAUAAAAGCUAAGGAUAUAUGGUUCAUUAAUUACAACAAAUGUACCAUACUAAUAGGUCAAUAGGGCAAACUGGGUGUGGGAUAUAUGGAAACUCUGUAGUAUCUUCCCAGUUAUGCUGUUAUCUUAGUCUAAGUUUUAUAUUUACAAGUUUAUUUAAAAAGUAACAAUGUGAAAAAUAUCAACAUAGAAAGUGUUGGUAACUGAAAGAGGGAUGAAAACAAUGGGCGAUGACGGAGACAAUAAUGGCAAAUGGAAUUUCAUUGUUAACAAUUCUGUCUGAACUGUGACUAUUACACAAAGCACUGUUUUAAUUUAUCUGUUUUGCCCAUAUCAUGGAAGUUUAUUCCCAGACUUUGUUUUGUUAUUGCAAUUUUUGUUUUUUUUAUUAAAUGGUGGUAGCAAGAAAAGUAGGGGUAUUUAAAUAGCCACCUUACUGAUUGCUCAUAAUGCUCUAAUAUAUCUUCUCAGCUUUUCCAGUUAUCAGUAAGUAAUAACUUCGCCUUCUCCAGUAUUUAGAUUUUAUUGUUCUCUUGCUUAUCUGUAUUAUCCUAGCACUUCUAGAAAGAUGUUAAAUAACAGUAGCAUUAACUGGCUUCCUUGUCUGGCUCCUAUUUUUAAUGGGAAUUGCUUCUGGCUUUCCCCCAUUAUUAACCAUGAUGCUCGGUGAGGUUUAAACUAUUCACCUAUUCCAUCUGUUCCUCUUACUAAGGAUUAUAAACAUAAAAACAAAUGGACUCAAAUUUUUAAAUGCAGAAAACAUUUUAGAUUGGAUCAUUUGUUUUCUUUGGUUUAUUAACAUAAAUUAUUAUAUUGGGGGUUGGGCAAAAGGGAUAAAGACGGUCAACUGUAUGUAUGGUGAUGGAUAGUAACUACACUUAUGGUGAUCACUUUGUAAUGCAUACAGAUGUCAAGUUAUAAAGCUGUGUACCUGAAACUUGAAUUAAAAAAUAAAAAAGUCCAAAUAAUGAACUAUCCCUGACAAACCUUACUUGGUCAAGGUAUUAUUUUCUUUUAAUAUAUAGUCAAAAUACCAUUUGCUAAAUAUAACUUAGGUUUUACAUCAGUAUGUAGGGACACUGGUAUGCUUUUUGUCAUGUUUUAGUAUCGGUGUUAAGCUAAAUUUAAAAGCAAUGAGAAAAUUUCCUUCUAUGUUGUGGGUCAAUUAGGUAACAAUUUCCUAUUCUUUUACAGGUUUAAAGUAAUUCAUCAGGGUAGCCACCCAGGCAAGGUACUUCUGAGAUACAGCUCUUUACCAAUUUUCUUCAUUCUUUCUAUAUAUAUGGAUGUUUGUAUUUUCCCAUUGAUCCAGAAUCAUCUCUGUAUUUUUCUUUAAAAUUUUUCAUUCUUGGCCUUGAAAUGCUCAGAAAAAUUGAAUCUGGGCCCCAAUUUAUCCAACUGAUAAGAAUUAAGAAAACGUACUUGUAAAGACAGGAAAGGAUAAGGCAAAACUUGUCAUUCAAUUAUUUCUACAAAAUUAGAAUUUGAAAAAGUUGGAUACAAAGAUCAAUAAAUCAAUAGCGUGUAUCACACAUAAAUAAACACAUUGCAAUUUUAAAAGAUAACCACUUAUAACAGUAUCAAAAACGAAGCUACCAGAAAUAAAGAAGCUAAGAGAAAACUAAGAUGUCAAAGAUCUAAAUUAAGGGAGACAUCUACCAUUUCCAUGAAGUGACUCAACAUUCCUAAACUCAUCUACAGAUACAAUCUCCAAUCAAAAUCCCACCACAUCAUUUACUGUAGAGUUUUAACAAGCUAACUCUAUAAAUUUGGGAGAGAGGGGAAAGGAAGAUACAAAACAACCUACGAGGCUAGAGUUCUUGAACAGUAUGGGCAGAGACAGACAAACAGACCAAUGAUACAACCUACAGAGCAGUUUGGCAGUAUCCUGUGAGUGAACAACCAGCACUUUUAGAUAAAAAUGCCUAACGAAAUUCUUGAACAUGUACACCAGGAUAUACACAGAAGGUUCAGAACAGCGCUGUGUAUUUAAAACAGCUGAAACUGGGAACAGUCCAAUCUAUUAUGAAUCAUGGAUUAGAUAAAUAUAUUGUGCUACGUUAAUAAAAUGGAAUAAUAGCGAAAAAUGAAAUAUAGCUAAAACGAAAUAUAGCUACCUGCAUGAGAAUCUCUCAAAGCUGAGAGAAAGUAGAAUUCCAAUAUAUAAAACUCAAACACAGGAAAACCAAAACAUACUGUUUAGAGAUAUAAACAUACCUAAGUAGCAACACUAAAGAAAAUAAUCAGAAAAAUCAGAACAAGUAAUUUACCUCGUAAGGAGAGGGAAGAAGAUGUUCUCACAUAGGGGCAACAAAGGAGGCUUCAAAAAGUAACUGGCAUCAUUCUACUUAAUCUCAUACAGGCGUUUGCUUUCUUCUUUAAGCUGUACAUAAUUUUAUACAUUCGUGUAUGUAUAUUUCACAAUUUUUUAAAGACUACUUUUUAAAGUAUAACAGCACAAUCUUUACUCUCAAAUGAAAAAAAUAAUUAUUUAUUAUCUGCAGCAUCCCAAAGAGAACAGACA